rnacentral:rRNA from 1 species
UACAGAGGGGGCAAGCGUUAUUCGGAAUUAUUGGGCGUAAAGGGCGCGUAGGCGGCCGAUCAAGUCAGGCGUGAAAUUCCCGGGCUCAACCUGGGGGCUGCGCUUGAUACUGAUUGGCUUGAAUGCGGGAGAGGAUAGUGGAAUUCCCAGUGUAGAGGUGAAAUUCGUAGAUAUUGGGAAGAACACCGGUGGCGAAGGCGGCUAUCUGGCCCGUAAUUGACGCUGAGGCGCGAAAGCGUGGGGAGCAAACAGG